rnacentral:rRNA from 1 species
GACGAACGCUGGCGGCGUGCCUAAUACAUGCAAGUCGAGCGGACAGAAGGGAGCUUGCUCCCGGAAGUUAGCGGCGGACGGGUGAGUAACACGUGGCAACCUACCCUGUAGAUCGGGAUAACAUCGAGAAAUCGGUGCUAAUACCGGAUAAUCAUUUGAAGUGCAUGCUUCGAAUGUAAAAGAUGGCUCCGGCUAUCACUACGGGAUGGGCCCGCGGCGCAUUAGGUAGUUGGUAAGGUAAUGGCUUACCAAGGCAACGAUGCGUAGCCGACCGGAGAGGGUGAUAGGCCACACUGGGACUGAGACACGGCCCAGACUCCUACGGGAGGCAGCAGUAGGGAAUCUUCCGCAGUGGACGAAAGUCUGACGGAGCAACGCCGCGUGAGUGAUGAAGGUUUUCGGAUCGUAAAGCUCUGUUGUUAGGGAAGAACAAGUGCCGUUUGAAUAAGGCGGCACCUUGACGGUACCUAACCAGAAAGCCACGGCUAACUACGUGCCAGCCGCCGCGGUAAUAC